UACAGUCAUAUCACAUUGAAACACAAGUUCUCGUACUAUUACCGAAGUUAAGCAACAUCGAACCUACUCAGUACCUAGAUGGGUGACCGCUUAGGAAUAUCAGGUGUAGUAGG